AUCGAUGAAGAACGCAGCGAAAUGCGAUAAGUAAUGUGAAUUGCAGAAUUCAGUGAAUCAUCGAAUCUUUGAACGCACAUUGCGCCCGGUGGUAUUCCGCCGGGCAUGCCUGUUCGAGCGUCAGUACAACACUCAAGCUCAGCUUGGUCUUGAGCCCAACGGGAAACCGCGGGCUUUAAAAUCAGUGGCGGCGCCAUCUGGCUCUAAGCGUAGUAAUACUCCUCGCUCUUGAGUUCCAGGUGGAUGCUGGCCAGCAACCCCCAACUUUCUAAGUUUGACCUCGGAUCAGGUAGGGAUACCCGCUGAACUUAAGCAUAUCAAUAAGCGGAGGAAAAGAAACCAACAGGGAUUGCCUCAGUAACGGCGAGUGAAGCGGCAACAGCUCAAAUUUGAAAUCUGGCUCUUUCAGGGUCCGAGUUGUAAUUUGUAGAAGAUGCUUCGGGUGUGGCUCCGGUCUAAGUUCCUUGGAACAGGACGUCAUAGAGGGUGAGAAUCCCGUAUGUGACUGGUUGCCUUCGCUCAUGUGAAGCUCUUUCGACGAGUCGAGUUGUUUGGGAAUGCAGCUCAAAAUGGGUGGUAUAUUUCAUCUAAAGCUAAAUAUUGGCCAGAGACCGAUAGCGCACAAGUAGAGUGAUCGAAAGAUGAAAAGCACUUUGGAAAGAGAGUUAAACAGUACGUGAAAUUGUUGAAAGGGAAGCGCUUGCAACCAGACUUGCGCGUAGUUGAUCAUCCGGGGUUCUCCCCGGUGCACUCGAUUGCGCUCAGGCCAGCAUCGGUUUGGGUGGUUGGAUAAAGGCCUUGGGAAUGUAGCUUCUUUCGGGGAGUGUUAUAGCCCUCGGUGCAAUGCAGCCUAUCCGGACCGAGGACCGCGCUUCGGCUAGGAUGCUGGCGUAAUGGUUGUAAGCGACCCGUCUUGAAACACG
rnacentral:rRNA from 1 species